UGGGGAAUAUUGCACAAUGGAGGGAACUCUGAUGCAGCGACGCCGCGUGAACGAAGAAGGCUUUCGAGUCGUAAAGUUCUUUUAUAUGGGAAGAUAAUGACGGUACCAUAAGAAAAAGCCCCGGCUAACUACGUGCCAGCAGCCGCGGUAAUACGUAGGGGGCUAGCGUUGUCCGGAAUCACUGGGCGUAAAGGGUUCGCAGGCGGAAAUGCAAGUCGGGUGUAAAAGGCAGUAGCUUAACUACUGUAAGCAUUUGAAACUGCAUAUCUUGAGAAGAGUAGAGGUAAGUGGAAUUUUUAGUGUAGCGGUGAAAUGCGUAGAUAUUAAAAAGAAUACCGGUGGCGAAGGCGACUUACUGGGCUCAUUCUGACGCUGAGGAACGAAAGCGUGGGUAGCAAACAGG
rnacentral:rRNA from 2 species